UACGUAGGGGGCGAGCGUUGUCCGGAUUCAUUGGGCGUAAAGCGCGCGUAGGCGGCAGGGCAAGUCGGCCGUGAAAUCUCCCAGCUUAACUGGGAGGGGUCGGGCGAGACUGCCCCGCUAGAGGCGGGUAGAGGGCAGUGGAAUUCCAGGUGUAGCGGUGAAAUGCGUAGAUAUCCGGAGGAACACCAGCGGCGAAGGCGGCAUCCUGGACUGGUCCUGACACUCAGGAGCGAAAGCGUGGGAGCGAUCCGG
rnacentral:rRNA from 1 species